rnacentral:lncRNA from 1 species
AGGACAGAGACCAGCCCAGAGGAUGUUGGUGGCAUGCACGCAGCUGUUGGAAUUCUUACAGCAAGAGGUGGGAUGACCUCUCAUGCUGCUGUGGUAGCACGUGGUUGGGGAAAAUGUUGUGUCUCAGGAUGCUCAAGCGUUCUCGUAAAUGAUGCUGAGAAGGUGAAUAGAAUUCUUGUUUGCACAUCUUCUUCUUUGUAGAAGGUGACAUGCCAUGUUAAAGUUUGUAACAGGAUUAUGACAUUCUUUGUAGAUGUGCUCCGUCCGCCAUUUUUAAGUUCUUAUUAACGAGAUUUUGAGGAUGUAGAUGUUUCCUUACUUUGCUAUGUCUACAUUUACAGUCUGUAGUGAUUGGAGACAAGGUGAUGCAUGAAGGUGAGUGGCUAUCACUGAAUGGAUCUACUGGUGAAGUCAUCGUGGGGAAGCAGCCACUUUCCCCACCAGUCCUCAGUGGUGAUCUGGGAACCUUCAUGUCCUGGGUAGAUGAAGUUAGGCAACUGAAGGUAAAUUCCUAGAAAUAACAAAUAUGUAAUAUUAGUUAAAACAUGGAUACAAACUGUUGGAAGUAGAAACCAACAAAAAGGGCAUCAGAUUAUUUAUUCAGACAGGCCAAAGCUAGUCAACCCCACUACACAUUUUUCAACAGAAAUGCUUAUUCGUACAUAUGAUCCACCUUCCAGGUUUUGGCUAAUGCGGAUACCCCUGAGGAUGCACUGACAGCAAGAAACAAUGGGGCAGAAGGAAUUGGACUAUGCCGGACGGAGCACAUGGUAUGUAUUUUAGUUACUGUCCAAUAUCUUUUGGGUGGGAUCUUGGAAAACUUACUCUUUCUUGAAUUCCUUCGUCGAACAGUUGGGUAAACUUUAAGGACCUCCCGUUCUAGUCUCAUGUUCUCCUUUUCUGCACUUUGGCAGUUCUUUGCUUCGGAUGAGAGGAUUAAGGCUGUGAGGCAGAUGAUUAUGGCUCCCACACUUGAACUGAGGCAGAAGGCACUAGAUCGUCUUUUGCCUUAUCAGAGGUCUGACUUUGAAGGCAUUUUCCGUGCUAUGGAUGGUAUGUGAAAAUCACGAUGCAUUCAUUUACAUGCUCUCCAAUUGAACUGGAUGCACUAGUGUUACUGAACAUAACAAGAGUAAGCAACCUUCUUAAAUAGACAACAUUGACUACUAAUGUAAAGUGAAAAGGUAGACAAGUUUUAAACCUUAGGAUGCAAAAUACUUCAAAAAUAAGAACGAAAUUGGGCCAGUAACAUAUUGCAUCAAUUAUUUAACUUGGUAACAUAAAGUUCUGCUAUGAUUUAUCCAUUAGUUUUUUUUAAUCUUUUAUAGCGAGUGGUAUAUGUACAUGUUUCAUGGAAACAGAUAUAGAAUUAAACUACUAGAAUAAAUUUUAACAUGUAUUGUAGUUAGUUCCACAGUAUGUAUUUUAAAGUGCGGAAUGGAUUUGAACAUUAUUUUUUUUGCAUUUCAGGGCUUUCAGUGACUAUUCGGCUUCUGGACCCCCCACUUCAUGAGUUUCUUCCUGACGGGAAUGUUGAAGACAUUGUGCGUGAAUUAUGUUCUGAAACUGGAGCCAAUCAGGAGGA